AUUGAACGCUGGCGGCAUGCCUUACACAUGCAAGUCGAACGGCAGCACGGGAGCAAUCCUGGUGGCGAGUGGCGAACGGGUGAGUAAAGUAUCGGAACGUGCCCAGUCGUGGGGGAUAACGUAGCGAAAGUUACGCUAAUACCGCAUACGAUCUAUGGAUGAAAGCGGGGGAUCGCAAGACCUCGCGCGAUUGGAGCGGCCGAUAUCAGAUUAGGUAGUUGGUGGGGUAAAGGCUCACCAAGCCGAAGAUCUGUAGCUGGUCGGAGAGGACAACCAGCCAGACUGGGACUGAGACACGGCACAGAAUCCUACGGGAGGCAGCAGUGGGGAAUUUUGGACAAUGGGCGAAAGCCUGAUCCAGCCAUGCCGCGUGCAGGAUGAAGGCCUUCGGGUUGUAAACUGCUUUUGUACGGAACGAAAAGGUUUGGCCUAAUAAGCUGAGCUCAUGACGGUACCGUAAGAAUAAGCACCGGCUAACUACGUGCCAGCCGCCGCAGUAA
rnacentral:rRNA from 1 species